GGAGCACUACUAUAGGAAAAAGAUGAAUAGGUUUGCAAGACUCCAGGCUGGAAGCCAGAAUUUAUUUUAGCUGAUGGCAAGAAAGUGGAAAAACUGAAAGCGAUGGCAAUCUGUAUACGUGGGAUAGCUCUGCACAGAAAAACUCUUCCACUUCUGAUUCUGGAAAUUAUGGAGAGCUCCAUUUUCUUGAUAUGUGACUAUGCUGAGUACAGGCAAAUAAAAGAGGGCAGAAAGAUUUGAGUGGCAAAUGCAUUUUUUUUAAAUGUGGGAAAAGCAGGAUUUUAAAUAAAAAGC
rnacentral:lncRNA from 1 species